UAACCCUUCACAUUUCUGCUCUGACUUGCUGUUGUAAGGUCAGCACUAUCUUGGUCUCUUCACCCUUGAUAUUUUUGCUACUUCAGCAGGAUAUUCAAUUCCAAUUAUUCACACACAAAAAAAAGAAAUUUAGAUUCAAACAGAUACAAAGAUAUCCAGGGAUUUUUAUUUCUUUUCCCCCUCAUAAUAUGCUUACACAGGAACAUCAAACAGAUUUUUUUUCCUCUUAUCUCUCCAAUUUAUCUGUGGAUGGGCCAUUCAGCAGAUGGGAGCCCCUGAUUUCAAUCCCAAAGGCAACUUUAUCAACUAAAUUUUAUCCACAAAGUUAAAGUAAGAAAGAUGAAGAGACUGCAUAUCUGAGAGCGAGGAAAAAAACAUCAAGCAACAACUUGGGAGCAUUUAGCAUUCAUUAUAAGAUGUGGCAUGAAAAAUAGGAAAAAAUACAGCAGUAAGAAAGCAUACCAAGGGAGAAAAGCAAGAUUCAUUCUAAUUAUGAACAACUUGCUAGCCAUAUAGCAAAGAGACUGAUUUAUGUGACUGAAGGGCUUCCCACAGCCAGUUGAUCAAGAUCAUGUCCAGAUGCCUUUUGAGCCUGCAAGGAUGGAGAUUGCACCACCUCCCUGAGCAAUCUGUGCCCCAGCUCGGACAUCCUCGCAAUGGAAGAGUCUUUCCUGAUGUUCAUACAGAACCUGCAGUGUUUCAGUUUGUGUCCAUUGCCUCUGGUCCUGUCUCUGGGUAUCACUGAGAGGAGCCAGGCUCUGUCUUUGCACCUCCUCCAGGUGUCUGCAUACCUGUCUGAUGAGAUCCCCCCAGAGCUCUCUCUUCUCCAGGCUGAAGCCCCAGCUCUUUGCCUCUCCCCACAGGAGUGGUUCUCCAGCCCUUAAUCACCUCUGCCAGCUUUCACCAAAUUCCCUCCAGUGUCUCCUCUUGCACUGAGGAGCCCAGCACUGGGCACAGCACUCCACAGGCACCUCACCAGGGCUGAGAAGUGGGGAAGCAUCAACUCCUUCAUCCUGCUGACCACACUUUGCCCAAUGCAGCCUGGGUUUCCCUUUGCCUCCUUUACUCCAAGGACACACUUCUGGCUCCUGUGAAUACUUACACACACAUGUUCUGAUUUAUCCUGGUCUUGAUAGAAAUGACUAAGAGAGCACUUAAAAAAAUAAAUCUCCAUAGAAUAAUGUGCAGUAUUUUUCCCUUCAUGAGAUAUAGGAUUGUUUAGUAUGCGCUAAUUUUUUUCAAAGCACCAAUUCUGGUAUGAGAUAUAUACACUAUUUUUAAUUCACCAAAGUUUUACUCACUGACAGUACAAAGUUAA